rnacentral:rRNA from 1 species
AUUGAACGCUGGCGGCAUGCUUUACACAUGCAAGUCGAACGGUAACAGGUUAAGCUGACGAGUGGCGAACGGGUGAGUAAUGCAUCGGAACGUGCCCGGUCGUGGGGGAUAACGCAGCGAAAGCUGCGCUAAUACCGCAUACGAUCUGAGGAUGAAAGCGGGGGACCGUAAGGCCUCGCGCGAUCGGAGCGGCCGAUGUCAGAUUAGGUAGUUGGUGGGGUAAAGGCUCACCAAGCCAACGAUCUGUAGCUGGUCUGAGAGGACGACCAGCCACACGGGGACUGGGACACGGCCCAGACUCCUACGGGAGGCAGCAGUGGGGAAUUUUGGACAAGGGGCGAAAGCCUUAUCCAGCAAUGCCGCGUGCAGGAAGAAGGCCUUCGGGUUGUAAACUGCUUUUGUACGGAGCGAAAAGGUCUCCUCUAAUACAGGGGGCUCAUGACGGUACUGUAAGAAUAAGCACCGGCUAACUACGUGCCAGCCGCCGCCGUAA